UACGAGAGUUGGGUUGGUCUCGAGAUCUAUGGUCUGUCAAGCCAUAAAGAGAGGUUUUAUCUUUCUCUUCCAUAA
rnacentral:tRNA from 1 species